ACGUUUCUAGAAACAGAUAUGUUGGUAGAUACUCUGACGGGAACAUCUUUGCUUUUUUAUUAGGAAUUCUUGCGUAAUCAAUAAUAUCGAUAAUAAGAAGUCCAAGAAAACAAAAAAAAAUAUAUAUAUACAGAGAAAGAGAGAGAGAGAGAGAGAGAAAGAUAAAAAAGGAGAAGAAGACAGAGAAAUAAAGUGAAGACGAAGAAAAGACGUAUACGAGCAUUCGUAUAAAAGCUAUUCGAUAAUUCAAAGUUGGUGCUAUUCGGAGAAAGAAGAACCGAAUCAUCGUAAUCACUCAAGGAAGAGAAGAAAUCUAUUUUCGUUUUUCUUUCGAAAGAUUAAACUUUCACUUUUUUCCUUUCUUUCCUUC